AUGCUCACUUCGGCAGCACAUGUACUAAAAUUGAAACGAUACAGGGAGGAUUAGCAUGGCCCCUGUGCAAGGAUGACAUGCAAAUUCAUGAAGCGUUCCAUAUUUUU
rnacentral:snRNA from 1 species